rnacentral:rRNA from 1 species
AUACGGAGGGUGCAAGCGUUAUCCGGAAUCAUUGGGUUUAAAGGGUCCGUAGGCGGGCUAAUAAGUCAGGGGUGAAAUCCCACAGCUUAACUGUGGAACUGCCCUUGAUACUGUUGGUCUUGAGUUACAGUGAAGUGGUUAGAAUGUGUAGUGUAGCGGUGAAAUGCAUAGAGAUUACACAGAAUACCGAUUGCGAAGGCAGAUCACUAACUGUAUACUGACGCUAAUGGACGAAAGCGUGGGGAGCGAACAGGAUUAGAAACCCGGGUAGUCC